AUUGGCAACCCAUUCUCACUCCAAAGGCGUCAAAAACCGAAGCAUGGUCAAGCGCCCCUAGCGUCACUUUUAUGACGCCAAAUGUGCCUCUCGGCGUCGAAUAUCGAAGCACUACGACCUUCAUUGCUUUCAAUGGGAAACUUUUGGCGUCAGAAUUCGACACGAGGACAUGAGAUGUUUAUCGCUAUGAAAUCACGUUCAAGAAGUCUCAUUCAGCACACAUCGCGAUACUUGCUAUCAGUUCCACAGUUUGGCUGAAAAGACGUAAAGGCAGUCAGCCCAGUGGUGUUUCUGGAGAGGGAUUCCUUCAGAAAUGGAGAAGACAGAAAGCUGCGGAGGCAGAUAUAUGCAGCAGUCUAAAAUAUCAAGCUCAACAGCUCACUCAAGAGCCAACCCUCACAAACCUUCCUAAAAACUAAAAGAGCUAUUACUGAGUCUCAGCGAAUCUUGCCAUGAUCAGCUCUUCCCAGAAGAGAAGGAAGACCAAGGAAAUGAUUUGCUCAGGAUGAGGAAUGAAGACGGCCAUCUUGAGCUCAAACAAACAGAAGUCCUCUG